AUGUGGUAAGUGGUUAUUGGUAAAUGAAAAAGUGAUGUUAGUUAUGAGUCUAGAUAAAAACCAAUAAAAAGUUGGCCACAACAACAUUUUGUAAAACGUUGUAAAAUAAUUUAUGACUGUAAUAUUACUUAUCGAGUAAAAUGUGUCAAAUAAUAAGGUCUUGUUUGGGAGAAGGGAAUGGAAUAGAAUAGAAUGGAAAUGAAUGAAAAUAAUAAUUUUAGAAUAUUUUUCUCUUUCCUUGUUUGAGAGUUUUAAUGCAAGGGAAUGGAAAGUUCAUUCCCUUGUUUGGGAGUUUAAGUGAGAGAGAAUAAAAUGGGUAGGACAGAACACGCAUUUCUCUCUAUUCCCUUAAAACCUCAAAUUUUCAUUCCCUCCGAUAUUGGAAGGAAUGGGAGGGAAUAGAAUUAGAUUUAAUGAAUUUUUUACUAAAACUCCCAAAAUACUCCUAUAUAUUCAACCCUUUAUUUUAAAAUAGGGGUCUAAUAGUAAUAUUGUCAUAAAAUGAUUUCAUUCCAUUCUCACCAUGUUACUCCCAAACAAGAUUACUUACAUUCCAUUCAUUUUCAUUCUUUUCCAUUCCUUUAUUUUAAAGCAUCCAAUCAAGGUUACUUACUUCCAUUCAAUUCAAUUUUUUUUUUUCCAUUCAUUUCCCUUACUUAAAUACAUUCAAUUCCAUUUCAUUCCUUUCCAUUCCCUUAUGUUCAUUCCAUUCCCUUAUGAACUCCCAAACGAAGCCUAAAAGAUGUGUGUUACAAGGAAUUUGUAAAAUAUAAAGAGCAUUAUGGGGAUUUCUCUUGAAAUUGCAUUAAACUUCAUUCAAUUCCCUCAAAUUCCUCAUAAUUUUAGAGGAAUGAAAAAUUGAGUUUUUAAGGAGUAUGAUGAAAUGGGUGUUCUCUCCUACCAAUUUCAUUCCACAUAGUAUAGUCAAAGGCAAGUUUGGUGUUUAGGGUAAACUCAAUUAAAUUUUGUCGUUAUUUAUAUAUAAAAAAAGGGUAAACUACUUACUUAGUCUUUAUUUUUUACAUCAUAUUUCAAUUUGAUCCAUAAUUUUUUAAUUGUGUCAAUUUAGUUCUUAACCUUUCAAUGUUGUAUCAAUUUAGUCCUUGCUAUUAUCUUUCGAAUGAAAAUUGCUGACAUGGCAUAUAGCCAAAAAAAAAAAAAGUUUACUGCCACAUCAACGGAAAUUAAUUUUUUUUUUUUUUGUUUUGGUUGUUUCUCAUGUCCGCAAUUUCUAUCCAAAAGAUAAUAACAUGACUAAAUUGACAUGAUACUAAAAGGUUAGAGACCAUUUUUUUUUUUUUGGAUGAAAAUAGACCAAAUUAAUACAAUUGAAAAAUUAGGAACCAAAUUAAAAUAUGGCGUAAAUAGUUUACUUUACCUUAAAUAUUAAUAUGUAAAAAACAUUUAUAGUGGUACAAUCCCAGGUUCGAUCCCUAUUGAACACAAUUUUAUUUUUUCUCUUCUUAUAUCAAAAUUACUCAACUUUUUCUGCUCUCUUCACAGUCGUUCUUCUCCCCUCUCUCUCUCUCUCUCUCUCUCUCUCUCUCUAUCACACCGCUUCUCCAUCGUUCACGCUGCUGGUUCUCCAUCGUUCACGCUGCUGGUUCUCCAUCGUUCCUGCCUUUCUCCACCUCUCUCUUAUUUUGGGUAUGUUCUCUUUUUCUCUUUUUUACUUAAUUGUGAGUUGUUUGUUGUUAUUUUUGUGUUUUUUUGCUUGCUAAAAAUACAUGAUUUUGAGUAUAUAUAUAUAUAUAUACACACACUUUGUUGUGUUUGCUUGGUGUUUGGUGUUUGGUUGCUGAGAAAAUGUGGGAAAAUAAAGGGGAAUAGUUUUUUCUUUUCUUUGAUAUGAUUGAGUAUAAGCCUUAUAUAUAUAUAUAUAUAUGAUUUGAGUUUAUCAUAUCAUAAUGUAUAAUAACUACAUUUAGAGUUGGGCUCCUCAAUUCACUUGGGUGAGAGCCCUUUUGGUAUCUCACACUUAGGGGCGGCCCUAGACAUUUUGGGGCCUAAGGCGAGAACUAAAAAUGUAUGUUUAUGUGUAUGUAUAUGUUUAUGUCUAUUUUCAUCUAAAUUUUGUGUUAUAUUUUGUUUAUUACUAAUAACAAAUUUAUCCAUUGAUCAUUUUUGAGACUCAAUUAAAUUUUUUUUUUUUUUAAGUUUUUCAUAUCCAGAUGCAUAUUUUCUAGUAGACAUUUCUAAUCAAACAAUAUAUUUAUAAAGACUAAAAUAAAAAAUAACUUUCAAGUAUAGAGCAAAUGAGAAAUAGAACUUGGUUUAUAUAAAAAGUAUUAUUAUAGUUUCACUGAACAAUAACAAUUUUUUAGCAAUCUCAACCUGCAUAAAUUAAAAAAAAAAAAAAUUAAGCACAAGAAUAACAAAUAUUUAAGCACAGCCAUAACACUGACCCAAGGCUUAUUAAUAAGACCCACCCACCAAAAAAAAAAAAAAAACUUGAAGGCCCAAACUUAACGCCCAGUCCAGGGAGGGUCCAGGCAAAAAAAAAAAAAAAACUUGAAGGCCCAAACUUAACGCCCAGUCCAGGGAGGGUCCAGGCAGCCAUAAUGAUAAACUGAUAAGUGAUAAACAAAGUUACAAAAGCAGCCAGGGAGGGCCCAAAUAAACAAAGUUAUCUUAAGUUCUUAACAAAUAAAAUGGAGUGCCCUGUGCCCAAAUAUUUAUAAUAAUUUUAUUAUACCUGAUUCCUGAGGUGAGGUGAGCAGUUGAGACUUGAGAGAGGCGGAGAGCAGAGAAUCAGAGAGAGGCUGAGGCGGCUUGCUGCCUUGCUUGAGCCUUGAGCUUUGAGCUGAUGAGAACAGACUGAACAGUGGAGACUGGAGACUAGAGAGAGGCGGAGAGCAGAGAGUAGAGAGAAAGGUAAAAUUUUUAGGGAUUUAUUUGUUUUGAUUUGUGGUUAAUCUCUUAGACCGGAUUUGUAGUUUAUCUGUUUGUUUUUUGGUCAAUGAUUUUGUUUAGAACCAAUGUUUAAUAGGAUUUACCAAAAUUUUUGUUUUUUUGGUUAAAAGGAUGUGCCAGUUUAUCUGUAUGUUAAGUUCCCUAAUUAAAUUUAACCAUGUUGUUUUUUAUUUUUUCAAUUUGGGUUUAUAAAAUAGCAAACUUGAUGUUCAGUUCCCUUCUGCUUCUGAUUUUCUGUCCAUGCUAGAUUGCUUUUCGCUUUCUGUAUGCUGAUUAUAAUUUUCUUCUGUGUCUGUACUGUUGUUAUGAAGUAUAUUUCCUGUAUACUGCAUCUUUUUUCAUAAAUUCCUACUUUCAUACUGUUCAAAAAGAAAAAAAAGAAGAAGAUGUUCAGCUCAAAUGAAGACCCAAAAACCUCUUUUAGCCCAAAAUGAGGAAAAAAAAAAAAAUGAGCUUCACAUUUUUAUUUUACACAAAAAGAAAUGAUCAUCAUUCAUUGUUCUUUGAGGAUUUGAGAAAGAGAUAAGGAGAAAGGUACAGAAGACGGGUAGAUAGAAUUUGGUGAAUAUAUUCAAGCUCAUUCAUUUAAAAAAAAAAAAAAAAUUUAUUCUACUCUAUUUUUGUCUGUUUUUUAAUUUGUUAUAUUAGGAGGGGUGUGCUCUGUGGCACACAUGGUGCUGUGUAGUUUUGCACACAAGGUGGGUAGCUAAUGUCUCUCAUUGACUAAUGAAGCUAUGAGUCAGAGGUAGUAGUGAACAUGAGCUAGUGCUUCUUUAUCCUAUUUGCUUGUUAGAGCUUCAUCUCUACAUUGUAAAGUCAUUUUCUUUAAUAAACUCGAUUAAUUAUCAAAACAUGCUUUGACACUAACAUGUACAUUUUUAUUUUUAUUUUUUUUGCUGAAUAACGUGUAUGUCUUUUAGUCAUUGAUAUGAAAUGCUGUCUGAUAUGUAUCACACUUACUCAAGCUCAUCAUUUUUAGCAAAUUUUGCUUCAUAACAUCAAAUCUAAACUCAAAUUUGAUGAACUUGACGUUCGAUUUUGUUGUUGUUGGAUUUACACAGAUUAACAAGAUGCCCCGGAGGCCAACAAGGCACCAGCGAUUGUUGAAACCUCGGCCUCUGACCUUCUCCUCUUUUUCUCGUUCAGCUGCUCAGGUAGCCUCUUCUUACUUGGCAAAACGUCGAAUGCAAGACUCCAAACUCCACAGAGAAUCUCCCCUGAACUCUGCAGGUAUUUGCAAUUUCAUGUUGAGUAAACUCUUCAUCUUAAUCCAGGAUGUAACACUUUGUUUUCAUUUUCUAUCUGCAUGAAUUGUCUUUUCUUUUUUUUGCUGGGGGAGGGGGUGUUCUAGAGCCAAUUUUGAAAAUUGUAACAUGAUUUACCCCCUCACGCACGAUUUACCACACCUACACUACAGCCCCACAUUGGCGCAUCUUACUUUGCUAGCUAACCACUAAAUUGUAGGCAUGAGCCAUUGGUUGCCUCUAGCUGACUUUGCAUCCUCUAUCUCUGCCACUACUAAAGACCAAAUUUGAGCCCUUGCUACCCUGUCUUACCACUCAUCAAUAGAUUUUUGCUUCGAUUCCUUCUGGUACUCGAUCACUGGCCAAAUUGGUCCUUAACAUGGUCGAUUAAUCAUGUUUUGCCUCCACCAUUGAUAACACUUGAUUUGGCCUAUUUGCACCUUGACACAAAAACACAUUCACCCAGAAGCAACCAAAACCAUCUGUCUCUAAUGUAUAUAGUACACACAAAAACAUCUAGCCAUCUCUCUGCCAUCUCCUAUUUCCGCACACCCACACAAGCACAAGCACAAAUUCUACCUUGUGCGCCUACCCAUUCUAUAUUACAUGUUAGUGGUUUAUAGGAAAGCAGUUUUAUGAGAUAAAAAUCAGGGUGUGAUUUAUAGGUUGGAGACAUUCUUGGUAGUGUUGGAUGAAACAAAAAAGGAGGUUUUGGUUAUGUUUCAAAUUGGGAUUAUUUUGGAGAUUUUGUUCUUUAAGGGAUUUUUGGUGUUUUUGGGAGUGUGAGGCUUUACAUUGUCAUUGUUGGUUUUGGAUUUACUUUAUCUUUGUGCAUGUGAAGGAGGGUAUGGGGGCACAUGUGUGGGUGUGCUCAGAGAGAGAGAAUGGACUAAAAAACUUUUGAGCAAAGAAACAAUUAACCAAGCACCUUGUGAGUUUUCAGUGUUUUAAACACUCUUUUCAGUUGUCACCAUCCAAACAAGUUUCCACUAUUUUAUGGAUGUCUAAUGGUUUUAGAUAGCCUGUCAUAAGGAGGUUUUAGUGGCAGAGUAUAUGAAUGUCUAAUGUUUGAUUACAUUGGGUUCAUGAGAAACUUGUAGGAUUGGGAGUUUGAUCGUUUUUCUUCUUCCUAAUUCUCUUUGUUCCAAUAAUUUGAGGAGAGAUGGAGAAGAUAAGAUUUAUUGGAUCCCUUCCAUUAGCCAUUGUAGGUUAAAUGUAUUAUAAAGUUUUGACCUCUAAUGUUACUUAAAAAAAGAAAAGAAAAAAAAGAAGAAGAAAAAAGACGACCUCUAAUGGCAGAACCCCUUUCCCUUAAAAUAGUAUUUGGAAGACCAAGAACCCUCUGAGAGUGGUAUUCUUUGCAUAGAUUAUAGCGUUUAGUAGAAUCCUAAUGAUGGAUAAUUUGAGGAAGUGUGACAUUAUAGUUGUGGAUUGUUGUUGUAUGUACAAAAAGAGUGAGGAAACCAUGGAUCAUAUUCUCCUCCAUUGUGAAGUAGCCAAGGAACUCUGGGAUAUGGCCUUAUGUUGUUUGGGCUGUAGUGGGUCAUGCCUAGGUGAGUGGUGGAUUUUUCACUUGUUGGAAAGGAAGGCUUGGUAGGCAUUGUAAUGCAAGCAUAUGGAAUGCCAUUCACGAGAAAACAGCCUCUGAGUUGAAGGUACUACUAUUGAAAAUCCUUUACAAUUGCUUAGUUGCUAGUGACUGUUUUUAUUCUUCAAACUUGCUAGAAUUUCUUGAUCUCUUUGUUUUUCCUUGAUUCUUGGUGUGUGUAUCACUUGUAUACUUCUCAUGUAUGUGGGUUGCGCCUUGCGCUCUCAAUGAAUUUGUUUACUUAUAUUAAAAAAAAUUUGGUGUUUUAUUUUUUGAAAAACAAUUCUAUAGUUACAUCUUUUCAAACACAUUUGAUAUUAAAAAACAGCAUGAAACGGUAUUCUAUUCUCUUUCUUGAGAACAUGUUUUUGAGAGCAGUUUUCAAAAACAAUUCAAAUAAGGCCCAUACUUGCUCUUCUGUUCUGCUUUCAGAUAACAGAAUUUUAAGGGAUACUUUGGAAAAAAGGAGCGAACCAUCUGAGUCUUCUGAUGAAGAGGAGUUUGAUGUAAGUUUUUCUUUCUCGCAAUAUAAAUUAUUAUUUUUAUCAGAAUUAGGGUUAAGUGAUUAAAUUCACAAUUUCCUAAUAGCUUAAGUUUUUAGGAGAAUUGGUAAUUUAACAUGGUAUCAGAACAAGAGGUCUUAAGUUCAAUCUGUGUCUCCUCCACUCUACCUCCCAUUUAAAUUCCCACAUGUUGGGGCUCACCUAUGAAAAGGUAGUUUGAGCCCACAUGUGAGGAGUGAUAUAAGUAUGUGGUUAAAUGAUUAAAUUUACCAUAUCCUAAUAGUUUAAUCUUUUGGGAAAAUCAGUAAUUUAAUGGUAUCAGAGCAGGAGAUCCUAAGUUCGAUCCUUCACUUUACUCUACCGAUUGUCCCAAAUGUUAACUACAAUUGUUUACAACACAUAAAAUUUUAUUAAGUUUUGAUCAUUGUUUUUCACUUUGAUUUAGUGUGUGUAUUCAUGCAAGUUCAAUUUGUACAUGUGAAGGGAAACGUUCAAGCAGAUUUUGCAUUCUUUGAUCCAAAAUCCAAUGAUUUUCAUGGAGUGAAGACAUUGCUGCAAGCCUACCUCGAUAAUAAGCUGUGGGAUUUGAGUGGUUUUGUUGACUUGAUAUUGGGGCAGACCACAGUGGGGACUGUUGUUAAAAUAGAGGGUGAUGAAGAUGAUGGAGUUUUUUCUAUUGUGACUGCUCUAAACUUGGGAAGAUAUAAGGCAAGGGACAAAUACUUCUAAAUCCCAACCAUAUUUUCUGCAAUGUUUAUCUCUUCUUUCAGUGGUGUGGCAUAUGCACUACAAACUGACUCUAUUAUUAAGUCUCCUGAUAUAUAUGUUUGCAAUUGCCAGUCAAUAAUGUUUGUGCCACAUUUAAAACAGUAGGAGUUUGCUGUUAUAUAAUUAGAUAUGCAGAAAUGUAUGGCUUCAAUCUGUUUGACUUUUCUACUGCUUUAGGGAUGUCAAUGGGGUGGUUUUGGAUGAGGCGACACCAAAUUGAAUAUGACCCCUAUUAAAUUUGUCCCAUCCUCCAUUAUUGCUUUUUCUCUUUAUAAAGCCUUAUAUUUACUUAUAAAGAAAAGACCCACAGUUAUCUCACCUUUAAUAGACUUGAAUAUUAUGUAAAUGCAAGUACCCAUCCUAGACUGUUACAUGAGUUGCGAUGAAUCUACUAAGCAAGCAAACUCUUAAUGUUACCCAAAAUUUCAAAUAGCCCCCCUGCUGUUAAUUGCCCUCAAAUUAAGAGCAUAUCAAUGGACAUGAGAAGGAGAAAAACCUGAAGAGAGCUUUGGUUGCAUCUUUUGUUGUUGUUGUUGACUUUGGUUUGGUGGCACAUUUCUGAAAUAAUCUGCUGUUAAUUUGAGGGAAACUGGAACAGUAGAGGGCCAUUUUGGAAUUUUUGAGCAAUAUUAGGGCACUGGUCGCUCAGUUUCAGAUAUAAGGGGACAUUGCAACUUGGGUGAUAGUUUUGGUGAAUAUUUGUAAUUUAUCCUGAAUAUUAUUUAAUCCAAAAAUAUGCUCAUAACCUGAUUAUAUGCCCAAGAGAAGAGAAGUUUUAUUAGGCAUGGGGUAGGGAAGGUCACCUGACUAACACAAUGCAAUACGUCUAGUUUAAUGUAUUUGCACAUGAAUUAGCAUUUCAUAUUAACAUUGUAUAUAAAAGGACACUAAAUUUAUAAAAAAAUUUCCAGACUCAAAUGCGAGUUCAGUCUUAAGUCCUUGCUUCAACCCUGAUUAUCUUCUGCACCUGAUCUCAUAUUGAAUUGAUGGGGAAAGUUACUUGAUUAGCAGUUCCUUUUGAUAGAAUCAAGUGUAGUUUGAUUGCUGACUGGCUGGUAAUUUCAACAUUUGUAGAUAAACUAACCCUCAUAACAAUUGACUGAUCAGAAGUCAUAUAUUUGUACUUAUCAGGACCAUAAAUGUAUCAUGGAGAUCAAGGAGUUCCUCCUUAAAUCAUGCCAGGAGAAGGAUGUUGUAGAUGACUUAAGAUUACUUUUGGGUGAGCAAGCACAGAAUGUGGGUCUCCUGGUCUCUCAGCGUGUGGUGAAUCUUCCUCCCCAGCUUCUGCCACCUCUUUACGAUGCCCUCUUUGAUGAAGUCUUUUGGGCUACAGAAGAUGAGGUUAGAUAAUAGCAUUUGUGGAUGGAUGAGUGUGAAAAAUGUCUGUUUCUUUACCUGCUGGAAACAGCAUCCUUAUUAUGUUCUGAUAUUCUUGUUUUGCCUUUGGAAGCCCACAGAAGAGCUCAGGAAUUCUUUCUGCUUUAAGUUUUAUAUAAUUUUCAGUAAAAUUUACAAGGUACAGUAUCGUAUCAUCUUUUCUUACUAUUGUAGUUUGCUUUUGAUUAAGAGAUGAGUUACAAUUGGUUUUAUUCGUUUUAUUUGUUUCUGGAUGCAAACUACAGCACAAGAAUGCUGAUCAGAAAAUGAAGCUGAGUAAUGACAGUGAUGAGGCAAUAAUCUAUACAAAGCCAGAGGAUGAAAUUUUUCACAGGGUAGUGAUACUUGUAUUAUGUCUCUCCAUGCCAGGAAAAAAAAAAAAAAAAAAACCUUUAUUAUGUACUUUUUUUUCUUCUUCUUUUAACUUAGUGUACUUAUGCGGUGUAUUAUUUCAGCUUAGCCAGUGGUCGUUCAGCUUUCCUUUGCACACUCAACAGCCAACUCAUGAGGUUAGUAGUUUUGUCAACCUAACAUAAUUUUUGACUUGCCCUAAUUACACUAAAACUAGUACUGCCCACCCCCAAAAAAAAAAAAACAAAAAAGAGAAGGAAAUAACUUAGAGCACAAUAGUAUGAGUUCAAAUUUCCUUUAUACACUUAGCAGGUUGCAAGUUGUGAGACAAGUAUUUCUGUUACGCUACAUACUUUGUUGCUGAAUGUGCAGCGAAUGUUUCAACACUUCUUGAUUGCUGUGCCAAUAUCUAUGAACCAAAAUUCUUUGUUUCCUUCGUAGGCUUGCAAAAUGUUCUUGUUUCAUACUCUUUCCCUCCCUCUCUUAGUUUUUUGUUCAGGUAUAUUUUAAGCGGUGUGGGGCUGGGUCACAAAUAUUUUGUGUUCAAACUUAAAUAUCUCCCUUGUAGCCUCGUAGGCAAACAGGCACAAAUUUUCCAAGAUCUGAAUGUGCUUCCGGAUUUUACUUGCCUUUUCUUAUCUGAAUAUCAUUGCUUAUCUCAGCACAGAAAAGAUGGGAGUUUCUGCAAAAGAUUUAGCUUAAGUCAUUUACAUCAGAAAUAUGUGAAUUAAUUUGAUAUCCAGUAUCCCACCCAAGUGUCCUCUUUCAGUGGUACUUUCUUGUUUUUCAUUGAUGCUAGUGUAGUGGACAGUCGUGUGUUGCUCUGUGGGCCUGUGGCUUUAUUCUUGGGACUAAUGGUUUUAUAAUUUAAUAUUCUAUUUAUUCGGCUUUCAUUAAUUUUUUUUGCAGCUAAGAAAUUAUCGGUUUAUGGGAUUAGUCAUGGCUGUUGAAGCAGAAAAAAUUUCUACAUUCCGACAAGAGUUGAAAUCUUUAAUAAAUGAAUCCUGA
rnacentral:sRNA from 1 species